AGGUGUGUUCAGGAUGAAGCCCUUCCAUCACUGAGCCUGAUGCUAGAAAGACCCGGUCUCUAGAGAAGGUAUCAUUUCUGUCACUCUGUCUCCACCCAGCAUUAUAAUCUCCAUCAUCAGUAUCCCACUAUUACUUGAGGCAUAUUUCUACCAUAAUACUCAUCAUACUGUAUUAUAGUUCUUUCCUCAUAUUAUUGUAUUAUUAAGCAGUUUAUGGAAAAAUGACCACUUCUAGUACAUUUGUGUAUCUAGAAUAUGUAAAACAAGAACAUGACCUAAAAGAAGCAAUAAAAGUUUACUGCAAUGAGUUGAA